UACGAGGGGGGCAAGCGUUGUUCGGAAUUAUUGGGCGUAAAGGGCGCGUAGGCGGUUUGGCAAGUUUGGUGUGAAAUCUUCGGGCUCAACUCGAAGUCUGCAUCGAAAACUGCCGGGCUUGAGUAUGGGAGAGGUGAGUGGAAUUUCCGGGUGUAGCGGUGAAAUGCGUAGAUAAUCGGAAGGAACACCUGUGGCGAAAGCGGCUCACUGGACCAUUACUGACGCUGAGAC
rnacentral:rRNA from 1 species